CCUACGGGAGGCAGCAGUAGGGAAUCUUCCACAAUGGGCGAAAGCCUGAUGGAGCAACGCCGCGUGGGUGAAGAAGGUCUUCGGAUCGUAAAACCCUGUUGUUAGAGAAGAAAGUGCGUGAGAGUAACUGUUCACGUUUCGACGGUAUCUAACCAGAAAGCCACGGCUAACUACGUGCCAGCAGCCGCGGUAAUACGUAGGUGGCAAGCGUUAACCGGAUUUGUUGGGCGUAAAGGGAACGCAGGCGGUCUUUUAAGUCUGAUGUGAAAGCCUUCGGCUUAACCGGAGUAGUGCAUUGGAAACUGGGAGACUUGAGUGCAGAAGAGGGGAGUGGAACUCCAUGUGUAGCGGUGAAAUGCGUAGAUAUAUGGAAGAACACCAGUGGCGAAAGCGGCUCUCUGGUCUGUAACUGACGCUGAGGUUCGAAAGCGUGGGUAGCAAACAGGAUUAGAUACCCGUGUAGUC
rnacentral:rRNA from 1 species